rnacentral:rRNA from 1 species
UACAGAGGUCUCAAGCGUUGUUCGGAUUCAUUGGGCGUAAAGGGUGUGUAGGUGGCGCCGUUAGUCGGGUGUGAAAUUUCGGAGCUUAACUCCGAAACUGCAUUCGAUACUGCGGUGCUUGAGGACUGGAGAGGAGACUGGAAUUCAUGGUGUAGCAGUGAAAUGCGUAGAGAUCAUGAGGAAGACCAGUGGCGAAGGCGGGUCUCUGGACAGUUCCUGACACUGAGACACGAAGGCCAGGGGAGCAAAACGGGG